rnacentral:tRNA from 1 species
GAGCUUGUGGCUCAGUGGUAGAGUGCUCGCCUAGCAUCUGUGUGAGGCCCUGGGUUCUAUCCUCAGCACCACA